rnacentral:rRNA from 1 species
GAUGAACGCUGACAGAAUGCUUAACACAUGCAAGUCAACUUGAAUUUGGGUUUUUAACUUAGGUUUGGGUGGCGGACGGGUAAGUAACGCGUAAAGAACUUGCCUCACAGCUAGGGACAACAUUUGGAAACGAAUGCUAAUACCUAAUAUUAUGAUAAUAGGGCAUCCUAUAAUUAUGAAAGCUAUAAGCGCUGUGAGAGAGCUUUGCGUCCCAUUAGCUAGUUGGAGAGGUAACGGCUCACCAAGGCGAUGAUGGGUAGCCGGCCUGAGAGGGUGAUCGGCCACAAGGGGACUGAGACACGGCCCUUACUCCUACGGGAGGCAGCAGUGGGGAAUGUUGGACGAUGGACCGAGAGGCUGAUCCAGCAAUUCUGUGUGCACGAUGAAGUUUUUCGGAAUGUAAAGUGCUUUCAGUUGGGAAGAAACAAAUGACGGUACCAACAGAAGAAGUGACGGCUAAAUACGUG